rnacentral:rRNA from 1 species
UACGGGGGGGGCAAGCGUUGUUCGGAAUUACUGGGCGUAAAGGGCUCGUAGGCGGCCAACUAAGUCAGACGUGAAAUCCCCAGGCUCAACCUGGGAACUGCGUCUGAUACUGGAUGGCUUGAAUCCGGGAGAGGGAUGCAGAAUUCCAGGUGUAGCGGUGAAAUGCGUAGAUAUCGGGAGGAACACCUGUGGCGAAAGCGGCGCACUGGACCACAACUGACGCUGAGGCGCGAAAGCUAGGGGAGCAAACAGG